rfam:Asian citrus Psyllid, Diaphorina citri - Florida Strain, whole genome shotgun sequence.
GCUCCCAUGGCGUAGUGGUCACUGCGCUCGCCUUGCACGCGGGUGACCCGGGUUCGAUUCCCGGCGGAGAUU